UGGGGAAUUUUGGACAAUGGGCGAAAGCCUGAUCCAGCAAUGCCGCGUGUGUGAAGAAGGCCUUCGGGUUGUAAAGCACUUUUGUCCGGAAAGAAAUCCUUGGCUCUAAUACAGUCGGGGGAUGACGGUACCGGAAGAAUAAGCACCGGCUAACUACGUGCCAGCAGCCGCGGUAAUACGUAGGGUGCAAGUGUUAAUCGGAAUUACUGGGCGUAAAGCGUGCGCAGGCGGUUUGCUAAGACCGAUGUGAAAUCCCCGGGCUCAACCUGGGAACUGCAUUGGUGACUGGCAGGCUAGAGUAUGGCAGAGGGGGGUAGAAUUCCACGUGUAGCAGUGAAUGCGUAGAGAUGUGGAGGAAUACCGAUGGCGAAGGCAGCCCCCUGGGCCAAUACUGACGCUCAUGCGCGAAAGCGUGGGGAGCAAACAGGAUUAGAUACCCUGGUAGUCCACGCCCUAAACGAUGUCAACUAGUUGUUGGGGAUUCAUUUCCUUAGUAACGUAGCUAACGCGUGAAGUUGACCGCCUGGGGAGUACGGUCGCAAGAUUAAAACUCAAAUGAAUUGACGGGGUCAUAGCUGUUUCCU
rnacentral:rRNA from 1 species